AUGUACCUACCACUAGGGGAAAAAGAAGAGAAGUGCCUUGCAGACGCUGGAAUCUUCAGCACCGGUUCCUUUCAUGCGUCGACGACGACGCCCGCCUUUCUUUCACUGUUCAAUGAUGAAAGAAACCUGCCUUCUCAGCAAAGAGGCUCCACGUGUAAGGGCACAAUUUUUUCAAACGAACAGAUGAAAAAAAAAUACGACCUAACUCAUUUUCCAGUAAAUAAUUUUCUUAUUCCGCGCGCCCGCGGUGAGAUUCUAUCAACGGCUAUCAAGUCAAUGGCUCUCGAUUUUCACCGGUGA
rnacentral:rRNA from 1 species